rnacentral:rRNA from 1 species
UAGGGAAUCUUCCACAAUGGACGCAAGUCUGAUGGAGCAACGCCGCGUGAGUGAAGAAGGUUUUCGGACCGUAAAGCUCUGUUGUUGGUGAAGAAGGAUAGAGGUAGUAACUGGCCUUUAUUUGACGGUAAUCAACCAGAAAGUCACGGCUAACUACGUGCCAGCAGCCGCGGUAAUCGUAGGUGGCAAGCGUUGUCCGGAUUUNUUGGGCGUAAAGCGAGCGCAGGCGGAAGAAUAAGUCUGAUGUGAAAGCCCUCGGCUUAACCGAGGAAUUGCAUCGGAAACUGUUUUCUUGAGUGCAGAAGAGGAGAGUAGAACUCCAUGUGUAGCGGUGGAAUGCGUAGAUAUAUGGAAGAAUACCAGUGGCGAAGGCGGCUCUCUGGUCUGCAACUGACGCUGAGGCUCGAAAGCAUGGGUAGCGAACAGGAUUAGAUACCCUUGGUGUCCAUGCCGUAAACGAUGAGUGCUAAGUGUUGGGAGGCUUCCGCCUCUCAGUGCUGCAGCUAACGCAUUAAGCACUCCGCCUGGGGGAGUACGACCGCAAGGUUGA